GGAUAAGAGAGACCCUGAAUUUGGAGACAAGCUGGAGAUAGUGGGAGGCCUAGCCAGCUGAUGUGAGAUUUGACCUGCCAACCAUGCACGCAUGAGGAAAAGCAUCACAGAGCGGGAGGAAGAACUCACAGCACUGCAGUGUCGUCUGCUCACCGAAUCCUGUAGUGGCAUAUUUGGAGAAGGACUCUUCAUACAACAUUGACUUCAGAGCAACUCCCAGUGCCAGACUCAAUAAGGAGACAUGAAAAAAUGAAUGCGAGUUGUAGAAAGCUGCAGACUUAAAAGGCAACUAGAAAAGGACAGCCCUGCACAGCACUGCAUCAUUUAUAUCACUUUUAUGUAAGUGUGCCAACUUCCUUGAUUUAUGUGUGUGUAUAUUUGGACUUAUCUUCC
rnacentral:lncRNA from 1 species